GGUCUGGAUUUAGUCUCUGCAUUACAAUGAAGAUCCUGGUAUUGGUAAUGCUCUGCUGUGCAAACAUCAUCCUUGAGUGCUGGGUAUGGUUCUCAAUUAAAUUGUCAAAGAACCCAGAAGAUGUUAACACAGAGUGAUGGAGGUUCAGUCACCAUGAGCCACGGAGAGAAGAUUGCAAGAUACCCCGGAAAGGAUUUCUUUUUUCUCUUUUCUUUUCGAUUUUCUUUUUGAUUUCCCACUAUAAAGUUAUAAUUUUCUUUAGGUAUUUGUAGUCUUGAAUUUUACUUAGUCAUCAAUGCAUGUAAAUAUUCCAAGUAAAUAUUGUUUAAAAGAAUUACUAAAAAACAUUGUAUAAACAGUUGAUUUUAUUUUAUUAUUAU